rnacentral:lncRNA from 1 species
AUGGUUUGCCAUUACUACCCCUGUUUGUUUUACUGUCUCUUUACCUGCCAUUUCUGUCAGGAUUCAACUCCCAGAGCCAGUCAGCUGGUAUCUAAGGAAACGGCCUCAGUAAUGGGGCCAUCUGAGGACAUCACUAAGGAGAUGGUAUCAUUAUCUUCAAAGGCACCAAUGACUUCUGUCAAAACCUGUGACAACACUGAGAGAGAGAGAGCUGCAGACAUUGGCGGUGACUUGAAGGCUAUUAAGCUUAUCAGUGAGGCGAAUGGGGAGGCCAGUACAGAGCCAGGAAGUGUUUUCAAGGAGCCUGAACCAGUUUUGAAAGAUUGGGAUUUCAAGGAUUUCCUAUCAGUAACUAAGGAACCCGGUUCUGAAAUAAUGGAGUCAAAAUCAGUUACCAUGGAGUGCCCAUCUAUUAUUGAUAAUGCUGAGGAAGUAACUAAGGAUUCAGCAUCAACAGCCAAGGAGUUAGCAUCAGUCACCAAGCAGCCAGACAGUGUUCUCUCUUCCCCUGUAAGCUUGGCUCCUGGUGGUAAACUAAUGGCAAAGACCAGUGUGACUGAACCUCAGAUGAAAUCAUCAGUGGUUGGUGGUGUACCCCAGGGUGUGCCAACAGAAUCACAGAGUGCCAGACUACUGCAUGGCCAGAACAUCUCUGCCUCCUCAGAGGCUACAGAGAGGAUUGCUGAACCACCUGAGACAUAUCCAACAGGCCUGACACAUCCCGACAUCAGGACAAGAGAGCCUGAGGAAGUCUCAAGUUUGGGUUUGCAGCAUGGCCUGAAGGAACCAGCGGAUCUGAGUCAGGAAGCUGUGAGCAGCACCGACAGCAGGGUGAAUGUCAAGAUGAUGGUUCCCAUCCAGCAAAAAGCUUCUGCAAGGUAGUGUGGUAAACCAUGAACACCCUUGUUAGGAUUAUGUCCAAUACCCCAUGUGUCACCUACAUGGAGGAACACCUCAGGAAUUAGCGUUGCAUAUUAUUAUGUUUAUUUUGUUUUUAUUUGUUUGUUCUGACUUUGUCUCUGUUUCAGGCCACAGACUGCUGCUGAUAGUAUACCUGCCCAGCCUGAGGAGGGCGCUGCAGCCAAAGGAGAACUGGUACUCCUUCUCAGCAGCCUAUCAGGAAAGCAGGUCCUGGAGAGCCCAGUUUUCAUGUUACAGGAGGUCGUGACCGAACAAACUGACCCCAGCAGAGUCGCAGCAGACCAUCCCAGCCUUCAGGUACAAUGCAGUCGCCUCUGUGUGCCUCUGCCAUUUUGUGUGCUGUGGUUUUGAUGAAUGGUAAUGUGUGGCAAUUUAUUUUAUUGUGGUCGAGAAUAAAAAAAAAAGAUAAAUAUCUUGCCA